rnacentral:rRNA from 1 species
CUUGCUCUUAUGAGUUAGUGGCGCACGGGUGAGUAAUGUAUAGCUAAUCUGCCCUACACUAGAGGACAACAGUUGGAAACGACUGCUAAUACUCUAUACUCCUCUCUAGCAUAAGUUAGAUAGGGAAAGUUUUUCGGUGUAGGAUGAGGCUAUAUUGUAUCAGCUAGUUGGUGAGGUAAUGGCUCACCAAGGCUAUGACGCAUAACUGGUCUGAGAGGAUGAUCAGUCACACUGGAACUGAGACACGGUCCAGACUCCUACGGGAGGCAGCAGUAGGGAAUAUUGCUCAAUGGGGGAAACCCUGAAGCAGCAACGCCGCGUGGAGGAUGACACUUUUCGGAGCGUAAACUCCUUUUGUUAGGGAAGAACAAUGACGGUACCUAACGAAUAAGCACCGGCUAACUCCGUGCCAGCAGCCGCGGUAAUACGGAGGGUGCAAGCGUUGCUCGGAAUCACUGGGCGUAAAGGACGCGUAGGCGGAUUAUCAAGUCUCUUGUGAAAUCCUAUGGCUUAACCAUAGAACUGCUUGGGAAACUGAUAAUCUAGAGUGAGGGAGAGGCAGAUGGAAUUGGUGGUGUAGGGGUAAAAUCCGUAGAGAUCACCAGGAAUACCCAUUGCGAAGGCGAUCUGCUGGAACUCAACUGACGCUAAUGCGUGAAAGCGUGGGGAGCAAACAGG